GUAUCCGUCUGUAUCCGCGGGAAGGCGUGUGACCCCUAGCUCCAUGGGUUCAGGCUCUGAUCCUGAACACUCGCCGAAGGAGGGAGAGAAGCAAUUGAGAUGCCGGGGCAUUGAGUUUUCAAUAUUGGUCAGGUAUAUCCGGAGAUGAUUAGCAAAUAAGUUCAGUUUAUAGUCAUGUUUACCAAUACUGAUGUCUGUUACAUUUGGGUCCUGUCUAUAUUUUCCUACAAGCGGUUCAAUUGCCAGUGGGUGGAAAGUUGAACGCUUCCAAAGUUUAGAAUAGAAAAGGAAAUUCAAGACGGUUGAAGGCCUUUUUAGCAUCAACAGCCAUUAUUGCUAAAUCUAAAUCUUGUUUUUUUUGCGUAUUGUAUUAACUCAAUCUUCCCCCCGUGUUUCAAUAAAUACCUUGGUUACCUCAUCCCAGUCUCCUCAUCUGAGUCUGCUCUUGGGUUCACCUGUUCCGCUCCGCGUAACACAUUCCAGGGUUUUUCUUUAUUUUUACUAUUUUCUACAACGUAGACAUCAAAACUAUGAAAUAACACACAUGGAAUCAUGUAGUAACCCACAAAGUGUUAAACAAAUCAAAAUAUAUUUUAUAUUUGAGUUUCUUCAAAGUAGCAACCCUUUGCCUUGACAGCUUUGCUGAGCAUGGAUCUAGGAAGCACUGAAUGGAGUGAUUUGUGUAAAUACACAGUAAAAUCACCAGUGUUAAAUUCACUGUUAAAAGCGGUCGACUCCCAUAGUUAUUUUAGCAACUGGCAGUGCCAAAUGAACCCUAGCGUCAGUGCCGAUAACUGGUGCUAAUUGCUAAGGUAUACAAUUGUACUCUAUUAGUGUAGAUCUUUACGCAGUAAAUGUAAACCUCAUCACAACGCCGCCCAUAAAUUCAGUUUCUGCGUUCAAAUUUCCUCUUUUCUCGACGCCAUUGUUGAAUAAACAAAAUCCACAUUUUUGAGUGAGUUUUUAAACAAUUAUUUCGCUGAUAAUUAGUUAAGCUAUUUGAAUUGAAAUACUUGAUACUUUGUCAGAUUUCAGUGUAACAUAAAAAGUUACAGUUUUGAUUGUGUGCAGCUAGUGUUAGAGUUACUUGCGUUUCACUUUUUGCACGUCUUUGCUAGAUGUCCUGUGCAGUUAGUCUGCUCCACAUGGUGGUUCCAUGGGCGCACGUGUCAUUUCAGCACCAAGCUUUUUUAGCCUCAUGCUAGUUUGUUCUCUUUAUUUCAGCUGCUUACUAUAUAUUGAGGACUAAUCUGAUUUAAGGUGAGUUGUUUAUUUAGCCAAAUUAUAACUGCAUUUUUGACUUUAGGGUGAUGCUUAUAGAUACAUAUUGUGACCAUUGCAUCGGCAGCUAGCUAGUCUAGCUAACUUCGUUUCCCAGUCGCUUUAUCACCAGUUGAUUUUGGCGGGCUUGUAAGACUGCUCCUAGAACAUGACAAUAUAAUAUGGUGACUAGCUGGAAUUACGAGUGUAUUUUACUGGCCUAAUUAGGCUGCACAUAUUUCGGGAUAGUGAAUAUGAAUUUAAUAGUCUGUUUGCUGUAGUUUGGGACCUGCUUCAAGUAAUAUCAGACAAGUUGUGGCCAUGAUCCAAUAUUUUCAGAAUAUACUUUGAAAUUAGCAUUGCUAAGUAAAGGGGUAUUGGUGAAAACGUUUGUAGCCGUCCUGAUAUAAUGUCAUGAUUUGAAAUACAAAUGUAAUGCCUUUUCAUCAAUUUUGGCCUUAUCUCAUACCAUUAACUGCUUUCAGACCGAGUCAUGCUGAUCAGGGUGAAAUUCAAUGGUGAACAAAAAUAUGUCAAGAUCAUUGACCUGACACUUGAAAACCUUUUUGAUUAGAGGUAAACUUUUAAUUUGUGAUUGGAAAUAAAAGUAUUGUGGUCAUACAUUUACAAGUCAGUCUGAUUACUCUUACCAUUACGAUUGUAAUUGUAGGUUGUUUUAAUGUUUAUCGCAGCUUUCCUGAAAUUUGAGAUCCCACUUACUCGUUUAUCAGAGGCAAAGCCGUAUGAUGGGUCUGGAACUGAAGUUGAUGGGGAUGUGUUAGAGGAGGUGGUGAAACGGACAGAUCUUGGUGUUCUCAAGCUCACACUGAACAAUGAUGCUAAAAGUAUGUGCUGGUUUUCAAGUCUUGGUUACUUGUGGCAUCACUUUCAAUAUAACCAUACACGUGACAUGCCUGUAUUAUCAUCUUUGUGUAUUUCAGAAUCUUCCUGGAUGAGUCCUGUCUCUGCCAGUUCUGUGAUGGGUGGUUCAGACCAUUGCAUCAGAAUCCUACCGCAAGCUCUGAACCUUUACACCAGAUCAUUGCAGCUAGCUAGCUGUAAUCCGAGUGGCUGCUCCCAGCUAACGUCUCUGUCCCGAAGCAAGCACCAGUUAGCCUGGAGCUAGACCCAUCUCCCGAAUAGCCAAAGAGGUACACCAGCUCUUUUGCCAAUUGGCCUGGACCCUUUACUGCCGACCCGGAGCCCCUCCGAUCCAUCACGACUCGUCUGCUGACGUAACCGUCCGAAAUGGUUUCCACAGGCUCUUCCGUUGCAAUGUCGCUGGAGGCCCAUCUGCUUGCCCCGGCCCGUUAGCUGUCUGAAUCGCCUUGUCUCCAGCUCGCAUAGCGUAUUAGCGACUACUGAAUAAGGUCUAUUGCUACUCAUUUGACCCUAUGAUCACUCGGCUACACAUGCCGCUCCCCAAUGUCAAUAUGCCUUGUCUAUUGCUUUACUGGUUAGUGAUUUUUGUCUUAUUUCACUGUAGAGCCCCCAGCCCUGCCCAAUAUACCUUAGAUAGGCCUUUUGUUCCACCCUCCACACAUGCGGUGACCUCACCUGGCUUAACUGGUGCCUCUAAAGACAUAACCUCUCUCAUCGUCAAUCAAUGCCUAGGUUUACCUCCACUUUACUCACAUCCUACCAUACCCUUGUCUGUACAUUAUGCCUUGAAUCUAUUCUUCCACGCCCAGAAAUCUGAUUAUUUUACUCUCUGUUCCGAACGCACUAGACGACCAGUUCUUAUAGCCUUUAGCCGUACCCUUAUCCUACUCCUCCUCUGUUCCACUGGUGAUGUUGCGGUAAACCCAGGCCCUGCAGUCCCCAGCACCACUCCCAUUCCCCAGACUCUCUCAUUUUUUGACUUCUGUAACUGUAAAAACCUUUGUUUCAUGCAUGUUAACAUUAGAAGCCUCCUCCCUAAGUUUGUUUUAUUCACUGCUUCAGCACACUCCGACAGCCCUGAUGUUUUAGCCAUGAAUUCUGGCUUAGGAAGGCCACCAAAAAUCCUGACAUUUCCAUCCCCAACUACAACAUUUUCUGACAAGAUAGAACUGACAAAGGGGGCAGAGUUAGCCUGCAGAGUUCUGUCAUACUGUCCAGGUCUGUACCCAAACAGUUCGAGCUUCUACUUUUAAAAUUCCACCUUUCCAGAAACAAGUCUCUCACCGUUGCCGCUUGUUAUAGACCCCCCUCAGCCCCCAGCUGUGCCCUGGACACCAUAUGUGAAUUGAUUGCCCCCCAUAUAUCUUCAGAGUUCGUACUGUUAGGUGACCUAAACUGGGAUAUGCUUAAACCUAAACUCCGGACAUCCUACAAUCUAAGCUAGAUGCCCUCAAUCUCACAAAUUAUCAAGGAACCUACAAGGUACAACCCCAAAUCCGUAACAAUGGGAACCCUCUUAGAUAUCAUCCUGACCAUCUUCCCCUCUAAAUAAACCUCUGCUGUCUUCAACUAGGAUCUCAGCGAUCACUGCCUCAUUGCCUGCGUCCGUAAUGAGUCCGCGGUCAAACGACCACCCCUCAAUACUGUCAAAUGCUCCCUCCACUUCAGCGAGCAGGCCUGUCUAUUCGACCUGGCCCAGGUUUCCUGGAAGGAUAUUGACCUCAUCCCGUCAUUAGAGGAUGCCUGGUUGCUUUUUUAACACGCUUUCCUCACCAUCUUAAAUAAGCAUGCCCCAUUCAAAAAACGUAGAACUAAGAACAGAUACAGCCCUUGGUUCACCCCAGACUUGACUGCCCUUGACCAGCACAAAAACAUCCUGUGGCGUACUGUAUUAGCAUUGAAUAGCCCCGCGAUAUGCAACUUUCAGUGAAGUCAGAAACCAAUAUACACAGGCAGUUAGGAAAGCUAAGGCUAGCUUUUUCAAACAGAAAUUUGCAUCCUGUAGCACUAAUUCCAAAAAGUUUUGGGACACUAAACAGUCCAUGGAGAAUAAGAACACCUCCUCCCAGCUGCCCACUGCACUGUUGGAUAGGAAACACUGUCACCACCAAUAAAUCUACCAUAAUCGAGAUUUUCAAGAAGCAUUUUUUUACAGCUGGCCAUGCUUUCCACUUGGCUACCCCUACCCCGGCCAACAGCUCUGCACCCCCAGCAGAAACUUGCCCAAGUCCCCCUCCCCCAACUUCUCCUUCACCCUGGCCCUCGCUACAUAUUCGUCGCCAACCCACUGGCUCCAGGUCAUCUAUAAAUCUUUGCUAGGUAAAGCCCUGCCUUAUCUCAGCUCACUGGUCACCAUAGCAACACCCACCCGUAGCAUGUGCUCCAGCAGGUAUAUUUCACUGGUCCUCCCUAAAGCCAACACUUUGGGGAUGACUUUCCUUCCAGUUCUCUGCUGCCAAUGACUGGAAUGAAUUGCAAAAAUCACUGAAGCUGGAGUCUUAUAUCAACCUCUAACCUUAAGCAUCAGCUGUCAGAGCAGCUAACCGAUCACUGUACCUGUCACUGUACCUGUACACAGCCAAUCUGUAAAUAGCAAACUCAACUACCAUAUUGUUAAUUAUCUUCUUGCUCUUUUUUUACCCCAUUAUCUCUACUUGCACAUCAUCAUCUGCACAUCUAUCACUCCAGUGUUAAUGCUAAAUUGUAAUUGUUUUGGCCUAUUUAUUGCCUUACCUACCUACUCUUCUACAUUUACACACACUGUACAUAGAUUUUUCUAUUGUGUUAUUGACUGUACGUUUGUUUGUAACUGUUGUUUUUGUCGCACUGCUUUGCUUUAUCUUGGCAAGGUCGCAGUUGUAAAUGAGAACUUGUUCUCAACUGGCCUACCUGGUUAAAUAAAGGUGAAAUACGAAAAUGAAGACCAUGAGUCGGUUGAUGCAAUCAUUUUGAGCGAAGAUGGAAGCCCCUCACGAAAGCAUCAAAGAUCUGAUGACGAAGCAAACAAUCUAAUAGAGAGCAUACUGAAGAAAAAGCCUGGUGGAGAGGUUGCCAUCAAGGAAUACUCCAAAACUAAAAGCCUGAUUGACAGCACCAGACGAAAGAUGAUCAACAUUCUUGUUUCGGCGAUGACAGACUCUCACGGGAACAAUAUUUCGACCCUAAUAUUAAAGGGUACCUCUAGUAUAGAAUCAAAACCGUUCGGAGGAAUUUGGCUUCAUCUGAGAGACGGCCCACUCAACUAUACUAUGGAGGGCCAGCUGCUGAGAGGGAGUCCAGUCCAUUCACUUUGGCUACCCUGAGUGAAGACCGGUGCAGAGAGGCCAUUUCUCUUAUGAAGCAUUCUUCUGAUGAAGAAACAGACAAACAGAAGAUGAGAUUGACCUUUGAGUACAGGAAGAAGAUGACCCACGACCCGAGUAAAUGCUCCACCAUCCUAACUGAAUUUCCACGCUUUCUGGAUGUGAAGGGCUUGAUUGAAUAGGAUUUUGUGCUGCUGUUUUUGGAGAGGUGACCAACUAUAUUCAAGCAAAAGAUCAUCAUGCUAAACAAGGCCACUCAGGGAACUGAACUUCAGGAGCUGAUCCAAAUGGCAGAUUCUGCAGUUGAUGAGGGAGCUGACACGAAUGCUGAUGGGUUAGAUUAUCAUCAUUUAUCAUUUAUAUUUCAAAUAACUCUGAAAUGUUAAUGCCACUGAUGGAAUUGACCAUUUUAAAUCAGGAUCUUUUCUUUGUUGAGGAUGAGACGAUGAUAACCUUUCCUUCAUCCUUCUCCUGCUCCUUUUGAUUCCUCCUUCAUCACAAGGCCGCAAAAGACCAGGCAAGGUAUUUCAUGUAAUUGACAUCAUGUACCACAAACCUUUUGAUUUGCUCAUGUCAUAUGGAGCAAGGGAUUUUUUGGACUACAUUGUCCCCUACUGUCACUUGAUAACAGUGUAAGCCAGGGCUGAUACUUAUGAUUAGGUUGUGAGAAACAUAUUUGUUUUUCAUGUAAAUGUCAGCAUUUUCCAACCAACCUCUUAAUUUGCUCAUGUCAUAUGGAGCAAGGGAUUAUUUUGACAUUCUACUGUCACUUGAUAACAGUUGAAGCCAGGGCUGAGACUUAUGGUUUGGUCAUA